GGGCUCCGGCAGCACGGCAGCACAGAGACUAAAACUGGAACGAUACAGAGAAGGUUAGCACGGCCCCUGCACAAGGAUGACACGCAAAUUCGUGAAGCCUUCCCUACUUUU